GGUGGCUCAGUGGUAGAGUGCCUGCCUUGCAUACAUGAGGCCCUGGGUUUGAUUCCCCAGCACCA
rnacentral:tRNA from 1 species